UAAUACAUGCAAGUCGAACGAGUUCUCGUUGAUGAUCGGUGCUUGCACCGAGAUUCAACAUGGAACGAGUGGCGGACGGGUGAGUAACACGUGGGUAACCUGCCCUUAAGUGGGGGAUAACAUUUGGAAACAGAUGCUAAUACCGCAUAGAUCCAAGAACCGCAUGGUUCUUGGCUGAAAGAUGGCGUAAGCUAUCGCUUUUGGAUGGACCCGCGGCGUAUUAGCUAGUUGGUGAGGUAAUGGCUCACCAAGGCGAUGAUACGUAGCCGAACUGAGAGGUUGAUCGGCCACAUUGGGACUGAGACACGGCCCAAACUCCUACGGGAGGCAGCAGUAGGGAAUCUUCCACAAUGGACGCAAGUCUGAUGGAGCAACGCCGCGUGAGUGAAGAAGGCUUUCGGGUCGUAAAACUCUGUUGUUGGAGAAGAAUGGUCGGCAGAGUAACUGUUGUCGGCGUGACGGUAUCCAACCAGAAAGCCACGGCUAACUACGUGCCAGCAGCCGCGGUAAUACGUAGGUGGCAAGCGUUAUCCGGAUUUAUUGGGCGUAAAGCGAGCGCAGGCGGUUUUUUAAGUCUGAUGUGAAAGCCCUCGGCUUAACCGAGGAAGCGCAUCGGAAACUGGGAAACUUGAGUGCAGAAGAGGACAGUGGAACUCCAUGUGUAGCGGUGAAAUGCGUAGAUAUAUGGAAGAACACCAGUGGCGAAGGCGGCUGUCUGGUCUGUAACUGACGCUGAGGCUCGAAAGCAUGGGUAGCGAACAGGAUUAGAUACCCUGGUAGUCCAUGCCGUAAACGAUGAAUGCUAGGUGUUGGAGGGUUUCCGCCCUUCAGUGCCGCAGCUAACGCAUUAAGCAUUCCGCCUGGGGAGUACGACCGCAAGGUUGAAACUCAAAGGAAUUGACGGGGGCCCGCACAAGCGGUGGAGCAUGUGGUUUAAUUCGAAGCAACGCGAAGAACCUUACCAGGUCUUGACAUCUUUUGAUCACCUGAGAGAUCAGGUUUCCCCUUCGGGGGCAAAAUGACAGGUGGUGCAUGGUUGUCGUCAGCUCGUGUCGUGAGAUGUUGGGUUAAGUCCCGCAACGAGCGCAACCCUUAUGACUAGUUGCCAGCAUUUAGUUGGGCACUCUAGUAAGACUGCCGGUGACAAACCGGAGGAAGGUGGGGAUGACGUCAAAUCAUCAUGCCCCUUAUGACCUGGGCUACACACGUGCUACAAUGGAUGGUACAACGAGUUGCGAGACCGCGAGGUCAAGCUAAUCUCUUAAAGCCAUUCUCAGUUCGGACUGUAGGCUGCAACUCGCCUACACGAAGUCGGAAUCGCUAGUAAUCGCGGAUCAGCACGCCGCGGUGAAUACGUUCCCGGGCCUUGUACACACCGCCCGUCACACCAUGAGAGUUUGUAACACCCGAAGCCGGUGGCGUAACCCUUUUAGGGAGCGAGCCGUCUA
rnacentral:rRNA from 2 species